UACGAAGGGGGCUAGCGUUGCUCGGAAUCACUGGGCGUAAAGGGCGCGUAGGCGGCGUUUUAAGUCGGGGGUGAAAGCCUGUGGCUCAACCACAGAAUGGCCUUCGAUACUGGGACGCUUGAGUAUGGUAGAGGUUGGUGGAACUGCGAGUGUAGAGGUGAAAUUCGUAGAUAUUCGCAAGAACACCAGUGGCGAAGGCGGCUCACUGGCCCGGAACUGACGCUGAGGCGCGAAGCCAGGGAGCGAACG
rnacentral:rRNA from 1 species